AUGGGUGUUGGCUCCAACAAUUCUCAUUGGUAUCAAACCAAUGGCAUGCAUUUCGAUGAUCAUGAGUUUGAGGUGGACGAGGAUGGUGAGGGCAUCGUCGACGCACCGAAAGGAAGAGGAGGAAACUACACCAAUGAUGAAGACAUCUUGCUAUGCAAUACUUGGUUGCAAGUGUUGAGGGAUCCCUCCGUUGGAGGUGAUCAAAGUAGAGUGGCGGUGGCAUUGGCGGCAUGGGAGGCAUUAGUGGCUUCGGAGCUACCAUGGGCGGCAUGGGUGCCAUGGGUGGCUUUGGAGCUACCAUGGAGACCAUGGGAGGCAUGGGAGCACCUCCGGGCGGCAUGGGCGGAAUGUCUUCCCAUGUGCCACACACACCUUCGCAUGAUGCAGUUGAAAAUCUUGCCAACACCUUCCGAGCUUCACAUGAUGCUGCGGCGCGCGACAAUGAAGAGGAGGAGGAAGAAUCGUCUUCGGAUGAUGAAUCCAAGGAAGAGGAAGAGGAAGAUGAAAAAGAGGAAAAGGCUUGAUUGUUGA
rnacentral:rRNA from 1 species